GGCCCGUUGGUCAAGCGGUUAAGACAUCGCCCUUUCACGGCGGUAACACGGGUUCGAAUCCCGUACGGGUCA
rnacentral:tRNA from 2 species